CACGUAGGGCGCAAGCGUUGUCCGGAAUUAUUGGGCGUAAAGAGCUCGUAGGCGGUCAGUCGCGUCUGCUGUGAAAACUCGGGGCUCAACUCCGGGCCUGCAGUGGGUACGGGCUGACUAGAGUGCGGUAGGGGAGACUGGAAUUCCUGGUGUAGCGGUGAAAUGCGCAGAUAUCAGGAGGAACACCGGUGGCGAAGGCGGGUCUCUGGGCCGAUACUGACGCUGAGGAGCGAAAGCGUGGGGAGCAAACAGG
rnacentral:rRNA from 1 species